rnacentral:rRNA from 1 species
CCGAGGAGUCCUGGCCGUUCGCGAGUCGUAGGGGCCCAUUUAAGAACCCCGGAGGCGUAGCGAAAGCGAGAGAGCGCGUUGGAGGGCACCGGUCCGGAGAGGUGUCUCGGCGAAGUCGUCCGCGUGGUUGGGGUUCGCUCCUUCUGCGUGGCCUCCGAGCCGUGCCCGAUCCUGCCGGCGCGACGAGUCUUGYUACUUUCCUUCGUCCGCCCCGCGUAUGCUGUCAUCGCCGUAGUCGUCUGAUUUUCCCUCUCGGGGGAGAUGAAGUUUGUGGUUGCGGCGGGUGUGCGUGCGGGUUGUGCACGGUGGCGUCACCUUCCUCCUUCCGCCCACCGGUGAGAUCCCGCGGCUUGAACUAGCAGCACUUACGAGUUUAGGCACUGCACGCGGGCGCAUCACCCCCGGGUCGAAUUUUUCCGAGUACGACUCGGUCGACUCUGGCGUAGCGAACGACCAGGGACCCGAAAGAUGGCGAUCCACGCCCGGUCGGGAUGAAGCCAGAGGAAACUCUGGUGGAAGUCCGAAGCGCCUCUGACGUGCAAAUCGAUCGUCGGAACCGGGUGUAGGGGCGAAAGACCAAUCGAGCCGUCUA